CGGGUGCACUGAUCCAGCCGGGCCUUUCCCUCUGUGGAACCCCAUGGCCUUCACUGGCUGUGGUGGGGAAACAGGACUUUUACUUUGAAAAAAUUAGAGUGCUCCAGGCAGGCCUAUGCUCGAAUACAUUAGCAUGGAAUAAUAGAAUAGGACGUGUGGUUCUAUUUUGUUGGUUUCUAGGACCGCCGUAAUGAUUUAAUAGGGACAGUCGGGGGCAUCAGUAUUCAAUUGUCAGAGGUGAAAUUCUUGGAUCUAUUGAAGACUAACUACUGCGAAAGCAUUUGCCAAGGAUGUUUUCAUUGAUAAGGAACGAAAGUUAGGGGAUCGAAGACGAUCAGAUACCGUCGUAGUCUUAACUAUAAACUAUGCCGACUAGGGAUCGGACGAUGUUAUUCUUUGACGCGUUCGGCACCUUUCGAGAAAUCAAAGUGCUUGGGCUCCAGGGGGAGUAUGGUCGCAAGGCUGAAACUUAAAGAAAUUGACGGAAGGGCACCACCAGGGGUGGAACCUGCGGCUUAAUUUGACUCAACACGGGGAAACUCACCAGGUCCAGACACAGUGAGGAUUGACAGAUUGAGAGCUCUUUCUUGAUUCUGUGGGUGGUGGUGCAUGGCCGUUCUUAGUUGGUGGAGUGAUUUGUCUGCUUAAUUGCGAUAACGAACGAGACCUUAACCUGCUAAAUAGCCCGUACUGCUUUGGCAGUUCGCCGGCUUCUUAGAGGGACUAUCGG
rnacentral:rRNA from 1 species